CCUACGGGAGGCAGCAGUGAGGAAUAUUGGUCAAUGGACGAGAGUCUGAACCAGCCAAGUAGCGUGAAGGAUGACUGCCCUAUGGGUUGUAAACUUCUUUUAUAGGGGAAUAAACCGUUUCACGUGUGGGUUUUUGCAUGUACCUUAUGAAUAAGGAUCGGCUAACUCCGUGCCAGCAGCCGCGGUAAUACGGAGGAUCCGAGCGUUAUCCGGAUUUAUUGGGUUUAAAGGGUGCGCAGGCGGAAGUUCAAGUCAGCGGUAAAAUUGGGGGGCUCAACCCAUUCGGGCCGUUGAAACUGGUGGUCUUGAGUGCGCGGGAAGUAGGCGGAAUGCGUGGUGUAGCGGUGAAAUGCAUAGAUAUCACGCAGAACUCCGAUUGCGAAGGCAGCAUACCGGCGCGCGACUGACGCUCAUGCACGAAAGUGUGGGUAUCGAACAGGAUUAGAUACCCCAGUAGUC
rnacentral:rRNA from 1 species